rnacentral:rRNA from 1 species
UACGUAGGGACCAAGCGUUGUUCGGAUUUACUGGGCGUAAAGGGCGCGUAGGCGGCGCGGUAAGUCACUUGUGAAGUCUCUGAGCUUAACUCAGAACGGUCAAGUGAUACUGCUGUGCUAGAGUGCGGAAGGGGCAAUCGGAAUUCUCGGUGUAGCGGUGAAAUGCGUAGAUAUCGAGAGGAACACCUGAGGUGAAGACGGGUUGCUGGGCCGACACUGACGCUGAUGCGCGAAAGCCAGGGGAGCAAACGGG